rnacentral:rRNA from 1 species
UACAGAGGUCUCAAGCGUUUGUUCGGAUUCAUUGGGCGUAAAGGGUGUGUAGGUGGCGCCGUUAGUCGGGUGUGAAAUUUCGAGGCUUAACUUCGAAACUGCAUUCGAUACUGCCGUGCUCGAGGACUGGAGAGGAGACUGGAAUUUACGGUGUAGCGGUGAAAUGCGUAGAUAUCGUAAGGAAGACCAGUGGCGAAGGCGGGUCUCUGGGCCACUACUGACGCUGAGAAGCGAAAGCAUGGGGGAGCGAACAGG